UACGUAGGUGGCAAGCGUUGUCCGGAUUUACUGGGCGUAAAGAGCGCGUAGGCGGUCGUUCAAGUCGCGUGUGAAAGCCCCCGGCUCAACUGGGGAGGGUCACGCGAUACUGAUCGACUCGAAGGCAGGAGAGGGUAGUGGAAUUCCCGGUGUAGUGGUGAAAUGCGUAGAUAUCGGGAGGAACACCAGUGGCGAAGGCGACUACCUGGCCUGUUUCUUGACGCUGAGGCGCGAAAGCUAGGGGAGCAAACGGG
rnacentral:rRNA from 1 species